rnacentral:rRNA from 1 species
AACGAACGCUGGCGGCAGGCUUAACACAUGCAAGUCGAACGGGUGUAGCAAUACAUCAGUGGCAGACGGGUGAGUAACACGUGGGAACCUUCCUAGGGGUACGGAACAACUCAGGGAAACUUGAGCUAAUACCGUAUACGUCCGUGAGGAGAAAGAUUUAUCGCCCUUAGACGGGCCCGCGUCGGAUUAGCUAGUUGGUGGGGUAACGGCCUACCAAGGCGACGAUCCGUAGCUGAUCUUAGAGGAUGAUCAGCCACACUGGGACUGAGACACGGCCCAGACUCCUACGGGAGGCAGCAGUGGGGAGUCUUGGACAAUGGGCGCAAGCCUGAUCCAGCCAUGCCGCGUGAGUGAAGAAGGUCUUCGGAUUGUAAAGCUCUUUUGCCAGGGACGAUAAUGACGGUACCUGGAGAAUAAGCCCCGGCAAACUUCGUGCCAGCCGCCGCCGUAAUAC